rnacentral:misc_RNA from 1 species
GCGGGAUUUUAUAAGGGAGGAAAUAAAAUUGAGGUGUGGGGUUCAAGGGCAUUUGGGACCUCCUCUUUUUGUCUUCCAAUUGUUGUAGCAAGGGCAGGAUUGCUUGUUUCCAUAAGUUCCAGAAGGCACACACAAGCACUUUGCACAACACUUCUGACAGAAGAACAUGCAUGGCUUCUUGUAAGCUGUCUUUGAGCAUCUUGUGGUGCAACGUGGUGCACAUUCUUGAGGAUGAAGGCUGCCUUGAGUGGUGCCAUAUGUCGGAAGAUUGCUGUUUGGUUGUGGCUGAGGAGUUGGAGCCUCAGUUAUGUUAGGAUUGUUCUCUGCUAAAAGAAGCAUCCAACAAAGAACAAAGAAGGCAAUGCUUGCUUUCCUCAUAAUUGCCUAUGCUUGGAAGCAACAGCAGAGAUACGAAGCUGAGAGAGAGAGAGAGAGAGAGAGA